rnacentral:rRNA from 1 species
CAGUGGGGAAUUUUCCGCAAUGGGCGAAAGCCUGACGGAGCAAUGCCGCGUGGAGGUGGAAGGCCUACGGGUCGUCAACUUCUUUUCUCGGAGAAGAAACAAUGACGGUAUCUGAGGAAUAAGCAUCGGCUAACUCUGUGCUAG